UUUUCAUGAACACUUUUAAAAAACACAAUUUGUGUUCUUAUCCUGGAAGUAUACUUGAAGCAGGUAGUCUGCAUUAAUGUGAAGACAUUAAGUGUUUCAGAAGAAUGACGCGAGAACUGGCCGACCAAUAAAUAACUGUAUCAACAUUAAAAAUAAAAAAACUGAUUCACAAAAUAUAAAUAUAAUAGGACAUUAAUGAACAACUUCCUAAAUACUGAACACUUCUCAUACAACUCAAGUCAAAAUAACUUGAAUAGAAAAACUAAAAACGACCCAAAUAAAUACAUGAAUACAUUAAAAUGAGAAACCUGGCAACUUCAUAAAUACUGGUCUUCUCAUGAAGAUCAAUCAAAAAUUUGCUUGAAAAGAAAUGUUGUUCACGCCUGUGAACUACAGUGAGUGUACAAAACAUUAGGAACACCCCUCCUCCACUUUAGCCCUCAGAACAUCCUCAACUUGUCAGAGCGUGGACUCUACAAGGUGUUGAAAGCCUUCCACAGGGUCUCUACAAGGUGUUGAAAGCCUUCCACAGGGACUCUACAAGGUGUUGAAAGCCUUCCACAGGGUCUCUACAAGGUGUUGAAAGCCUUCCACAGGGUCUCUACAAGGUGUUGAAAGCCUUCCACAGGGUCUCUACAAGGUGUUGAAAGCCUUCCACAGGGUCUCUACAAGGUGUUGAAAGCCUUCCACAGGGUCUCUACAAGGUGUUGAAAGCCUUCCACAGGGACUCUACAAGGUGUUGAAAGCCUUCCACAGGGUCUCUACAAGGUGUUGAAAGCCUUCCACAGGGACUCUACAAGGUGUUGAAAGCCUUCCACAGGGUCUCUACAAGGUGUUGAAAGCCUUCCACAGGGUCUCUACAAGGUGUUGAAAGCCUUCCACAGGGUCUCUACAAGGUGUUGAAAGCCUUCCACAGGGACUCUACAAGGUGUUGAAAGCCUUCCACAGGGACUCUACAAGGUGUUGAAAGCCUUCCACAGGGACUCUACAAGGUGUUGAAAGCCUUCCACAGGGUCUCUACAAGGUGUUGAAAGCCUUCCACAGGGUCUCUACAAGGUGUUGAAAGCCUUCCACAGGGUCUCUACAAGGUGUUGAAAGCCUUCCACAGGGUCUCUACAAGGUGUUGAAAGCCUUCCACAGGGUCUCUACAAGGUGUUGAAAGCCUUCCACAGGGUCUCUACAAGGUGUUGAAAGCCUUCCACAGGGACUCUACAAGGUGUUGAAAGCCUUCCACAGGGACUCUACAAGGUGUUGAAAGCCUUCCACAGGGUCUCUACAAGGUGUUGAAAGCCUUCCACAGGGUCUCUACAAGGUGUUGAAAGCCUUCCACAGGGACUCUACAAGGUGUUGAAAGCCUUCCACAGGGUCUCUACAAGGUGUUGAAAGCCUUCCACAGGGUCUCUACAAGGUGUUGAAAGCCUUCCACAGGGACUCUACAAGGUGUUGAAAGCCUUCCACAGGGACUCUACAAGGUGUUGAAAGCCUUCCACAGGGACUCUACAAGGUGUUGAAAGCCUUCCACAGGGACUCUACAAGGUGUUGAAAGCGUUCCACAGGGAUGCUGACCCAUGUUGACUACAAUACUUCCCACAGUUGUGUCCAGUUGGCUGGAUGUCCUUUGGGUGGUGGACCGUUCUUGAUACACACAGGAAACUGUUCAGCAUGAAAACUCCAGCAUCGUUGCAGUUCUUGACACAAACCAGUGUACCUGGCACCUACUACACUGUUCAAAGGCACCUCAAUAUUUUGUCUUGCCCAUUCACCCUCUGAAUGGCACACAAACACAAUCCAUGUCUCAAUUGUCUCAACUCUUAAAAAUACCUUUAACCUGACUCCUCCCCUUCAUCUACACUGAUUGAAGUGGAUUUAACAAGAGACACAGGAUCAUAGCUUUCAGCUGGAUUCACCUGGUCAGUCUAUGUCGUGGAAAGAGCAGGUGUUCCUAAUGUUUAAUCCACUCAGUAUAUCUGUGCUUGGUAUUGUAGUAUAUGACUUAUGUCUGACUCCUACGGGUGGCUGUUCCUGUGUUGACAUGUGUUGUUGACCCUGUAGCUGUUGUCAGUAGACAGGAAAUGCAACAAACCGCUACCAAACUGACAGAAACCGUUUGUUUUGGUUUCCAGUGUACCAUGAUAAACAUGAUGUAGAUGUGGCCAGGUUGAACCUCAUCUCACCUUAGUUGAGCACCUUCUACUCCUCUCCAAGCUAGGGUUAGUUAGGGUUAGUUAGGGUUAGAGUUAGUUAGGGUUAAUUAGGGUUAGUUAGGGUUAGAGUUAGUUAGGGUUAGAGUUAAUUAGGGUUAAUUAGGGUUAGUUAGGGUUAGAGUUAGCUAGUGAUAGCUAGGGUUAGAGUUAGCUGGGGGUAGAGUUAGCUAGUGAUAGCUAGGUUUAGAGUUAGCUAGGGUUAAUUAGGGUUAGAGUUAGUUAGGGCUAGAGUUCAUUAGGGUUAGAGUUCGUUAGGGUUAAUUAGGACUAGAGUUAGAUAGGGCUAGAGUUAGCUAGGGCUAGAGUUCAUUAGGGUUAGAGUUCGUUAGGGUUAAUUAGGACUAGAGUUAGAUAGGGCUAGAGUUAGCUAGGGCUAGAGUUAGCUAGGGUUAGUUAAGCCAGUUUGUCCCAGGGGUCUUGGCUGUGGAGAAACACUUGAUAGAGGGUUAUGAUUAGGGUUAGGGUUAGCUAGUGUUAGCUAAUGUUAGAGUUAGCUAGGGUUAGGGUUAGCUUGGGUUAGAGUUAGCUAGUGAUAGCUAGGGUUAGAGAUAGCUAUGGUUAGAGUUAGCUAGGGUUAGAGUUAGCUAGGGUUAGAGUUAGCUAGUGAUAGCUCGGGUUAGAGUUAGCUGGGGGUAGAGUUAGCUAGGGUUAGAGUUAGCUAGUGAUAGCUAGGGUUAGAGUUAGCUAAGUUUAGAGUUAGCUAGGGUUAGAGUUAGCUAGGGUUAGAGUUAGCUAGGGGGUAGAGUUAGCUGGGGUUAGAGUUAGCUGGGGUUAGAGUUAGCUAGUGAUAGCUAGGGUUAGAGUUAGCUAGGGUUAGAGUUAGCUAGUGAUAGCUAGGGUUAGAGUUAGCUAGGUUUAGAGUUAGCUAGUGAUAGCUAGGGUUAGAGUUAGCUAGUGAUAGCUAGGUUUAGAGUUAGCUAGUGAUAGCUAGGGUUAGAGUUAGCUAGUGAUAGCUAGGGUUAGAGUUAGCUAGGGUUAGAGUUAGCUAGUGAUAGCUUAGGGUUAGAGUUAGCUAGUGAUAGCUAGGGUUAGAGUUAGCUAGUGAUAGCUAGUGUUAGAGUUAGCUAGGGUUAGAGUUAGCUAGGGUUAGAGUUAGCUAGUGAUAGCUAGGUUUAGAGUUAGCUAGUGAUAGCUAGGGUUAGAGUUAGCUAGGGUUAGAGAUAGCUAGGGUUAGAGUUAGCUAGGGUUAGAGAUAGCUAGGGUUAGAGUUAGCUAGGGUUAGAGAUAGCUAGGGUUAGAGUUAGCUAGGGUUAGGGUUAGCUUGGGUUAGAGUUAGCUAGUGAUAGCUAGGGUUAGAGUUAGCUAGGGUUAGAGUUAGCUAGGGUUAGAGUUAGCUAGGGUUAGGGUUAGCUUGGGUUAGAGUUAGCUAGCGAUAGCUAGGGUUAGAGAUAGCUAUGGUUAGAGUUAGCUAGGGUUAGAGUUAGCUAGGGUUAGGGUUAGCUAGGACUAGAGUUAGCUAGGGUUAGAGAUAGCUAGGGUUAGAGUUAGCUAGGGUUAGAGUUAGCUAGGGUUAGAGUUAGCUAGGGUUAGAGAUAGCUAGGGUUAGAGUUAGCUAGGACUAGAGUUAGCUAGGACUAGAGUUAGCUAGGGUUAGAGUUAGCUAGGGUUAGAGUUAGCUAGGGUUAGAGUUAGCUAGGGUUAGAGUUAGCUAGGACUAGAGUUAGCUAGGACUAGAGUUAGCUAGGGUUAGAGAUAGCUAGGGUUAGAGUUAGCUAGGGUUAGAGUUAGCUAGGGUUAGAGUUAGCUAGGGUUAGAGAUAGCUAGGGUUAGAGUUAGCUAGGGUUAGGGUUAGCUAGGGUUAGGGUUAGCUAGGACUAGAGUUAGCUAGGGUUAGAGUUAGCUAGGGUUAGAGUUAGCUAGGGUUAGGGUUAGCUAGGGUUAGAGUUAGCUAGGGUUAGAGAUAGCUAGGACUAGAGUUAGCUAGUGAUAGCUAGGGUUAGAGAUAGCUAGGACUAGAGUUAGCUAGGGUUAGGGUUAGUUAAGCCAGUUUGUCCCAGGGGUCUUGGCUGUAGAGACACACUUGAUAGAGGAUAGCCAGAUCCACCAGUACCUGAGUCAGCCCACACAACAGGAACUGGAGGGGGCUCUCCUUCAGGGCAAAGUAGGCCGUCUUGAAGCUGUCCCCGGCCAUCCACAGUAGGACCAUGUU